GGAGGUGUCGCCUAGUGGUAUGGCACGAGUUCGCUAAACUCGCACCCGCAAGGGUGUCGUGGGUUCGAUUCCCACCGCCUCCG
rnacentral:tRNA from 5 species